rnacentral:sRNA from 1 species
UCUUCAGUGCUCUCUUCUCUCUCUUCUCUCAGACUUGUGCUGGAUUAUGUGAUUGCAAGAUGUCAUGAGAGACACAGUUUUUUCUUUACUCUUCUCUUUAUUUUUCUUUUCAGAACACUUAUUUUUUCUUUUUUCUUUUGUCUAUCUCAUCUGUCUUUUCUCUGCUGUUAGAAGUAUAGACAGUUCUUGAAUCAACUGAGAGAGUUAUCUCUCUUCAUUCACUGUAAAGCCUUUCAGACACAGCAGCAGUAGUUUCCCUCAGAAACCACACUAUAGCUCCACCAUGAAUGAUCAUACAUC